UCUACGGGAGGCAGCAGUGAGGAAUAUUGGUCAAUGGGCGAGAGCCUGAACCAGCCAAGUCGCGUGAAGGAUGACGGCCCUACGGGUUGUAAACUUCUUUUGUCAGGGAGCAAUUGAGUCCACGUGUGGGCUUAGCGAGAGUACCUGAAGAAAAAGCAUCGGCUAACUCCGUGCCAGCAGCCGCGGUAAUCAGGAGUAUGGGAGCGUUAUCCGGAUUUAUUGGGUUUAAAGGGUGCGCAGGCGGAAGAUCCAGUCAGCGGGAAAAGUGAGAGGCUCAACCUCUUCGAGCCGUUGAGACUGGUUUUCUGGAGUGUGUGAGACGUAUGCGGAAUGCGUGGUGUAGCGGUGAAAUGCAUAGAUAUCACGCAGAACUCCGAUUGCGAAGGCAGCAUACCGGCGCUCAACUGACGCUCAUGCACGAAAGUGUGGGUAUCGAACAGGAUUAGAUACCCCUGUAGUC
rnacentral:rRNA from 1 species